GACGAACGCUGGCGGCGUGCUUAAUACAUGCAAGUCAACUUGACUUUAGAUAGCAAUAUCGAAAAGUAGGGUGGCGCACGGGUGCGUAACGCGUAGGUAAUCUGCCCUGAGGUCUGACAUAACCCGUCGAAAGGCGGGCUAACAUCAGAUGAUAUAUAAUCACGACAUCGUGGAAAUAUCAAAUCUUCGGAGCCUUGGGAUGAGCCUGCGUCUGAUUAGGUAGUUGGCGGAGUAAUAGCCCACCAAGCCUACGAUCAGUAGCUGGUCUGAGAGGAUGAUCAGCCACACUGGAACUGAGACACGGUCCAGACUCCUACGGGAGGCAGCAGUAAGGAUAUUGCUCAAUGGGGGAAACCCUGAAGCAGCAACGCCGCGUGAAGGAUGAAAUACUUUGUAUGUAAACUUCUGUAAGAUGGGAAAAUAGUUCUCCUCGGGAGAAUUGAUUGUACCAUCAGAGUAAGCCCCGGCUAACUACGUGCCAGCA
rnacentral:rRNA from 1 species